rnacentral:rRNA from 1 species
UACGUAGGGGGCAAGCGUUGUCCGGAUUUAUUGGGCGUAAAGAGCGUGUAGGCGGCCAAACAGGUCAGCUGUGAAAACUCGAGGCUCAACCUCGAGACGUCGGUUGAAACCGUUUGGCUAGAGUCCGGAAGAGGAGAGUGGAAUUCCCGGUGUAGCGGUGAAAUGCGCAGAUAUCGGGAAGAACACCCGUGGCGAAGGCGGCUCACUGGACCACAACUGACGCUGAGGCGCGAAAGCUAGGGGAGCAAACAGG